rnacentral:rRNA from 1 species
CCUACGGGAGGCAGCAGUGGGGAAUAUUGGACAAUGGGCGAAAGCCUGAUCCAGCAAUGCCGCGUGAGUGAUGAAGGCCUUCGGGUCGUAAAGCUCUUUUACCAGGGAUGAUAAUGACAGUACCUGGAGAAUAAGCUCCGGCUAACUCCGUGCCAGCAGCCGCGGUAAUACGGAGGGAGCUAGCGUUGUUCGGAAUUACUGGGCGUAAAGAGUACGUAGGCGGUUAUUCAAGUCAGAGGUGAAAGCCCGGGGCUCAACCCCGGAACUGCCUUUGAAACUAGAUAACUAGAGUCUUGGAGAGGUUAGUGGAAUUCCGAGUGUAGAGGUGAAAUUCGUAGAUAUUCGGAAGAACACCAGUGGCGAAGGCGACUAACUGGACAAGUACUGACGCUGAGGUACGAAAGCGUGGGGAGCAAACAGGAUUAGAUACCCUGGUAGCCCACGCCGUAAACGAUGAUAACUAGUUGUUCGGUCACUUGGUGACUGAGUGACGCAGCUAACGCAUUAAGUUAUCCGCCUGGGGAGUACGGUCGCAAGNUUAAAACUCAAAUGAAUUGACGGCNGAGACGNGCGAGACGACGACGAGGAGAG